rnacentral:rRNA from 1 species
AUUGAACGCUGGCGGCAGGCCUAACACAUGCAAGUCGAGCGAGCGGCGGACGGGUGAGUAAUGUCUGGGAAACUGCCUGAUGGAGGGGGAUAACUACUGGAAACGGUAGCUAAUACCGCAUACCAUCAGAUGUGCCCAGAUGGGAUUAGCUAGUAGGUGGGGUAACGGCUCACCUAGGCGACGAUCCCUAGCUGGUCUGAGAGGAUGACCAGCCACACUGGAACUGAGACACGGUCCAGACUCCUACGGGAGGCAGCAGUGGGGAAUAUUGGACAAUGGGGGGAACCCUGAUCCAGCCAUGCCGCGUGUGUGAAGAAGGCCUUAUGGUUGUAAAGCACUUUAAGCGAGGAGGCGUUACUCGCAGAAUAAGCACCGGCUAACUCUGUGCCAGCAGCCGCGGUAAUUC